UACGUAGGGUGCAAGCGUUAAUCGGAAUUACUGGGCGUAAAGCGUGCGCAGGCGGCUAUGCAAGACAGAUGUGAAAUCCCCGGGCUUAACCUGGGAACUGCAUUUGUGACUGCAUGGCUAGAGUACGGUAGAGGGGGAUGGAAUUCCGCGUGUAGCAGUGAAAUGCGUAGAUAUGCGGAGGAACACCGAUGGCGAAGGCAAUCCCCUGGACCUGUACUGACGCUCGUGCACGAAAGCGUGGGGAGCAAACAGG
rnacentral:rRNA from 1 species